CGUGUGUAGAUUUUUGCACGUUGACCCAAACGCAGAGUAACAAGCAGGAACGGAAGUUUUUAAAUAAAAGCGAGCUUUAUUUAAAGCUGACAAAAUCCAAAAACCACAAAACAAGGAGGGGAACAAAGUACAAAGAAAACAUAC